rnacentral:rRNA from 1 species
CACUUUGUCUAUAUGGCAAAUGUGAGAUGCAGUGUAUGGAAUGUCAAAUUUCUAAUAUGAGAAAUUAACGAUUUAAGUCCUUCUUAAAUGAGGCCAUUUACCCAUAGAGGGUGCCAGGCCCGUAUAACGUUAAUGAUUAUUAGAUGACAUUUCCAAAGAGUCGUGUUGCUUGAUAGUGCAGCACUAAGUGGGUGGUAAACUCCAUCUAAAACUAAAUAUAACCAUGAGACCGAUAGUAAACAAGUACCGUGAGGGAAAGUUGAAAAGAACUCUGAAUAGAGAGUUAAAUAGUACGUGAAACUGCUUAGAGGUUAAGCCCGAUGAAACUGAAUAUCCAUUAUGGAAAAUUCAUCAUUAUGAUUUUAAUAUUUUAAAAAUAUUAUAAUAAUGGUGUGCAUUUUUUCUAUAAAAGGACAUUGUAAUCUAUUAACAUUAUAUAAUUUAUCAUAAGAUCAUUUGCGCUAGUUUAUUCGAAUUAUUUUGCUUGCAAUUUAACAUAGAAUAAAUGCAUAUGAUUUGAUAAAGUGUUGAUAGAUUUUAUUAUAUAUAAUGCUUAAAUAUAUAUAUUUUAUAAUAGCAUAUUAAUCAUCGAUUUUUAUGUUUAUUAUAUGCAUUUAUAUGAUUUACAAUGCGAAAGAUUCAGUAUACCUUCGGGACCCGUCUUGAAACACGGACCAAGGAGUCUAACAUAUUUGCAAGUUAUUGGGCAUAAAAACCUAAUAGCGAAAUUAACAUAACUUAUUUGAUGGGAUUAGUUUUUAGUACUAUUGUACUAUUAAUUCAAUCCCGGGGCGUUCUAUACAGUUAUGUAUAAUAAUAUUUUAUAUUAUAUAUACCUCUAACUAGAGCGUACCUUGAGCAUAUAUGCUGUGACCCGAAAGAUGGUGAACUAUACUUGAUCAGGUUGAAGUCAGGGGAAACCCUGAUGGAAGACCGAAACAGUUCUGACGUGCAAAUCGAUUGUCAGAAUUGCAGUAUAGG